rnacentral:rRNA from 1 species
UACACCUGUUCCCAUUCCGAACACAGAAGUUAAGCUCUCUAGCGCUGAUGGUACUUGGUGGGAAACUGCCUGGGAGAGUAGGACGUAGCCACGU